UGAAGAGUUUGAUCAUGGCUCAGAUUGAACGCUGGCGGCAGGCCUAACACAUGCAAGUCGAACGGUAACAGGAAGCAGCUUGCUGCUUCGCUGACGAGUGGCGGACGGGUGAGUAAUGUCUGGGAAACUGCCUGAUGGAGGGGGAUAACUACUGGAAACGGUGGCUAAUACCGCAUAACGUCGCAAGACCAAAGAGGGGGACCUUCGGGCCUCUUGCCAUCAGAUGUGCCCAGAUGGGAUUAGCUUGUUGGUGAGGUAACGGCUCACCAAGGCGACGAUCCCUAGCUGGUCUGAGAGGAUGACCAGCCACACUGGAACUGAGACACGGUCCAGACUCCUACGGGAGGCAGCAGUGGGGAAUAUUGCACAAUGGGCGCAAGCCUGAUGCAGCCAUGCCGCGUGUAUGAAGAAGGCCUUCGGGUUGUAAAGUACUUUCAGCGGGGAGGAAGGUGUUGUGGUUAAUAACCGCAGCAAUUGACGUUACCCGCAGAAGAAGCACCGGCUAACUCCGUGCCAGCAGCCGCGGUAAUACGGAGGGUGCAAGCGUUAAUCGGAAUUACUGGGCGUAAAGCGCACGCAGGCGGUCUGUCAAGUCGGAUGUGAAAUCCCCGGGCUCAACCUGGGAACUGCAUUCGAAACUGGCAGGCUUGAGUCUUGUAGAGGGGGGUAGAAUUCCAGGUGUAGCGGUGAAAUGCGUAGAGAUCUGGAGGAAUACCGGUGGCGAAGGCGGCCCCCUGGACAAAGACUGACGCUCAGGUGCGAAAGCGUGGGGAGCAAACAGGAUUAGAUACCCUGGUAGUCCACGCCGUAAACGAUGUCUACUUGGAGGUUGUGCCCUUGAGGCGUGGCUUCCGGAGCUAACGCGUUAAGUAGACCGCCUGGGGAGUACGGCCGCAAGGUUAAAACUCAAAUGAAUUGACGGGGGCCCGCACAAGCGGUGGAGCAUGUGGUUUAAUUCGAUGCAACGCGAAGAACCUUACCUGGUCUUGACAUCCACAGAAGAAUCCAGAGAUGGAUUUGUGCCUUCGGGAACUGUGAGACAGGUGCUGCAUGGCUGUCGUCAGCUCGUGUUGUGAAAUGUUGGGUUAAGUCCCGCAACGAGCGCAACCCUUAUCCUUUGUUGCCAGCGAUUAGGUCGGGAACUCAAAGGAGACUGCCAGUGAUAA
rnacentral:rRNA from 1 species